rnacentral:lncRNA from 1 species
GAGAACCAUAGGUGUUACCACCAAUGGCAUCAACCUGGCCCGGCUACUGCCCCAGCUUCAGAAGGCUGGUCUCAGUGCCAUCAACAUCAGCCUGGACACCCUGGUGCCUGCCAAGUUUGAGUUCAUUGUCCGCAGGAAAGGUGAACUGUGUGGUGAUGCGAGGCCUUAACGAGGAUGAACUCCUGGACUUUGCGGCCUUGACUGAGGGCCUCCCCCUGGAUGUGCGCUUCAUAGAGUAUAUGCCCUUUGAUGGUCAGUGACCA